rnacentral:rRNA from 1 species
GAGCGGCGAACGGGUGAGUAACACGUGAGUAACCUGCCCCUGACUCUGGGAUAAGCCUGGGAAACCGGGUCUAAUACCGGAUGUGACCUCCUCCGGCAUCGGAUGGUGGUGGAAAGUUUUUUCGGUUGGGGAUGGGCUCGCGGCCUAUCAGCUUGUUGGUGGGGUAGUGGCCUACCAAGGCGACGACGGGUAGCCGGCCUGAGAGGGCGACCGGCCACACUGGGACUGAGACACGGCCCAGACUCCUACGGGAGGCAGCAGUGGGGAAUAUUGCGCAAUGGGCGGAAGCCUGACGCAGCGACGCCGCGUGGGGGAUGACGGCCUUCGGGUUGUAAACCUCUUUCAGCAGGGACGAAGUUGACGUGUACCUGCAGAAGAAGCGCCGGCUAACUACGUGCCAGCAGCCGCGGUAAUACGUAGGGCGCAAGCGUUGUCCGGAAUUAUUGGGCGUAAAGAGCUCGUAGGUGGCUGGUCGCGUCUGCCGUGAAAGCCCGCAGCUUAACUGCGGGUCUGCGGUGGAUACGGGCCGGCUAGAGGUAGGUAGGGGCAAGUGGAAUUCCU